rnacentral:rRNA from 1 species
UACGAAGGGUGCUAGCGUUGUUCGGAAUUACUGGGCGUAAAGCGCGCGUAGGCGGCUUCUCAAGUCAGGGGUGAAAUCCUGGGGCUUAACCCCAGAAUUGCCUUUGAAACUGUGAAGCUAGAGUGUCGGAGGGGAUAGCGGAAUUGCUAAUGUAGAGGUGAAAUUCGUAGAUAUUAGCAGGAACACCGGUGGCGAAGGCGGCUAUCUGGACGACAACUGACGCUGAGGUGCGAAAGCGUGGGGAGCAAACAGG